CGGGGGCUACGCCCCCAACUAGAUUACGCAGCACUGUUCAAUCAAAGCAAUGCACUUCCGCAUUUGAGCUUGACUUUAAAUAGCAGCCAUUGCCGGCUUCUUUGCGGCCUGACUUCUUGGAGUGUACCUCCCUAUAGAUCACUGGUGGUUGACAGGUUCCUAUUGUCGGCGCUGAACCCCAGGCAAACAUUCCGCCACAUCCCCGUUUAAGCCUUGGUUGUCCUGAUCAGGAAGGCUUGGUGCGACGAUGACUGGGUGAAAGACGAGCUUUCUUAGAGUUGGUAGCCUACAAGGAAGAACUCCCGUUAAUGCCACUGCUGUUUUGCCAUACGUAUGGUUUUCUGCGAUUUGGUGUAACUUGUUUGUGUUGUCUGCUAUAGACUGGCUGCCUGGUUAACGCUGUCGCUAGUUAGGCUACACGGCUGGUGUAGGCUACGCUUGGCUUGUCCUGUCGCCUAUGAAUGUAUGUCCGUGUCCUUGGUCUUUUUUUGGAUAUGUGUGCUGUUUCUUUUGUUUUGUUUGCCAAACCAACUGUGUUCGUUCAAUCCCUCCUAAAAAUUGUAUUUAACAACAGUCUCUUUCCCUCGUAGCUUAUUAGUCCUGUUGCUGGAGAGUUUAUAUGCAUCAGGCCCACGGAUGGUGCAAGCCCUUUUUCUUCCUCCCCUAUGUUCACUGCAUGCUUAGUGAGGCUUUCUGGUGUUCACCCAUAAAUGUGUGCCUGCACUAUUUGCUUGCUGUGAGUGUGGAUAACCGUGUGUUUGGUGUGUGUGAAUAAUUUUCUUAUGCACAGGUGAGGGGUGUCUUGGGGUCCUCCUUCGCCCUCCAGUGGCGCACCUGAUGCUCUCUCUCUCCACAGCGGUAUUGACUAGAACAUGCAUAUCUAUAACUAAGCUAUCUAGUUUUUCAGACUGCAAUUAUUAGGUGUGAUUGAUAUGAUAUCAGUAGCUCCAUUUAUUGUUAAAAUAUAUAUUUUUACUAAUUGGCUUCCUUCCCCAUCUUA